rnacentral:lncRNA from 1 species
GGAAGCCCACGAACAACGCUGCCGGUAAAGGCAGAGAAGCAUGAGAAAGUGGUGGUGUUGGAAACACCCGAGCUGGUGAAGAUGCAGGAGCUCUACACACGAUCUCCACGAUAUUCAUGGCUGAAAACCGGAAUAAAGAUGAACAAAGAAGAGGGACACCAUCUGGGCAAGAGGGAUAGAAUAAAUUUGGGUUAAAAAUAGGUGGAGAGAAUAGUAGAAGCAAAGAGCAUAGAAGAGACAAAAAGAAAGAAGGAAAUGGCGACCAACCCUAGCCACGGCUAGGGUCGGGGCCACUAGAUGUUCUUGAUUUUUGAAGACUCACACCAGAAGGUGAGAACUACUCUCAGUAGGAGAGAAGAACUCUCACUUGGAGAGAAAAGACCAGAAGGUGUCCGAAGUCCAGUCAAAUAUGAUUUUAAGUUGUUUUGCUAAACGUAUCAACAAGUGCUUUUAACUAGGGUUGGACUUGGCUAGUAACCGAGGCUGAGAUGCUGAAACUAAAAACAAAG